rnacentral:rRNA from 1 species
GACGUCUGUGGAACGAGCGGCGGACGGGUGAGUAACACGUGGGCAACCUGCCUGUAAGACUGGGAUAACUCCGGGAAACCGGGGCUAAUACCGGAUAACUCAUCGGAUCGCAUGAUCCGAUGUUGAAAGAUGGCUUCUCGCUAUCACUUACAGAUGGGCCCGCGGCGCAUUAGCUAGUUGGUGAGGUAACGGCUCACCAAGGCCACGAUGCGUAGCCGACCUGAGAGGGUGAUCGGCCACACUGGGACUGAGACACGGCCCAGAGGACAUGCGCAGCUAUAAUGCAGUCGACUCCUACGGGAGGCAGCAGUAGGGAAUCAUCCGCAAUGGACGAAAGUCUGACGGUGCAACGCCGCGUGAGUGAGGAAGGCCUUCGGGUCGUAAAACUCUGUUGUUAGGGAAGAACAAGUUCCGUUCGAAUAGGGCGGAGCCUUGACGGCACCUAACCCGAAAGCCACGGCUAACUACAUGCCAACAGCCGCGGUAAUACGUAGGUGGAA